UACGUAGGGUCCGAGCGUUGUCCGGAAUUAUUGGGCGUAAAGGGCUCGUAGGCGGUUCGUCGCGUCGGGAGUGAAAACUCGGAGCUCAACUCCGAGCCUGCUUCCGAUACGGGCAGACUAGAGGUAGGCAGGGGAGAGCGGAACUCCUGGUGUAGCGGUGGAAUGCGCAGAUAUCAGGAAGAACACCGGUGGCGAAGGCGGUUCUCUGGGACGGUACUGACGCUGAGACGCGAAAGCGUGGGGAGCGAACAGG
rnacentral:rRNA from 1 species